rnacentral:rRNA from 1 species
AUGCAAGUCGAGCGGAUGAAGGGAGCUUGCUCCUGGAUUCAGCGGCGGACGGGUGAGUAAUGCCUAGGAAUCUGCCUGGUAGUGGGGGAUAACGUCCGGAAACGGGCGCUAAUACCGCAUACGUCCUGAGGGAGAAAGUGGGGGAUCUUCGGACCUCACGCUAUCAGAUGAGCCUAGGUCGGAUUAGCUAGUUGGUGGGGUAAAGGCCUACCAAGGCGACGAUCCGUAACUGGUCUGAGAGGAUGAUCAGUCACACUGGAACUGAGACACGGUCCAGACUCCUACGGGAGGCAGCAGUGGGGAAUAUUGGACAAUGGGCGAAAGCCUGAUCCAGCCAUGCCGCGUGUGUGAAGAAGGUCUUCGGAUUGUAAAGCACUUUAAGUUGGGAGGAAGGGCAGUAAGUUAAUACCUUGCUGUUUUGACGUUACCAACAGAAUAAGCACCGGCUAACUUCGUGCCAGCAGCCGCGGUAAUACGAAGGGUGCAAGCGUUAAUCGGAAUUACUGGGCGUAAAGCGCGCGUAGGUGGUUCAGCAAGUUGGAUGUGAAAUCCCCGGGCUCAACCUGGGAACUGCAUCCCAAACUACUGAGCUAGAGUACGGUAGAGGGUGGUGGAAUUUCCUGUGUAGCGGUGAAAUGCGUAGAUAUAGGAAGGAACACCAGUGGCGAAGGCGACCACCUGGACUGAUACUGACACUGAGGUGCGAAAGCGUGGGGAGCAAACAGGAUUAGAUACCCUGGUAGUCCACGCCGUACACGAUGUCUACUAGCCGUUGGGAUCCUUGAGAUCUUAGUGGCGCAGCUAACGCGAUAAGUCGACCGCCUGGUGAGUACGGCCGCACGGUUAAGACUCACAUGAAUUGACGGGGGCCCGCACAAACGCUGAAGCAUGUGGUUUAAUUCAAAGCAACGCGAAGAACCUUACCUGCCCUUGACAUGCUGAGAACUUUCCAGAGAUGAAUUGGUGCCUUCGGGAACUCAGACACAGGUGCUGCAUGGCUGUC